rnacentral:rRNA from 1 species
UACGAAGGGGGCUAGCGUUGCUCGGAAUUACUGGGCGUAAAGCGCACGUAGGCGGCUCUUUAAGUCGGGGGUGAAAUCCUGGAGCUCAACUCCAGAACUGCCUCGAUACUGUUAGGCUUGAGACCGGAAGAGGUAAGUGGAACUGCGAGUGUAGAGGUGAAAUUCGUAGAUAUCGCAAGAACACCAGUGGCGAAGGCGGCUUACUGGCC